AAAAAAUUAGUUAAUAUAUAACAUAGGCCUGUCACGCCUAAAUUAUCAACUAAAGUCGAUAUUUUUUA
rnacentral:tRNA from 1 species